rnacentral:misc_RNA from 1 species
CACACACACACACAUACACACACAGAGUUUGAUAUGUUCUGAUCAGUUUGGUAUGGUUCUUUAGUUCAUUUUGAGACCAUCAAGAACCAUGCACACCCCUAAUUUCAACUAUGAUAUAGCAGCAGUUCAAAAGGAGCACAAACUACAAUCAUAUCACCUUUAUGAGACAGCAAAAGAUAGAAAUUGGAAUUUGAAGAAACACUUCAACACUCACGAAGUUUCUAGCAUGUCAUCUUGUCCAGAACCCUGUGUGGCACUACAGCCAGAAGAAGCUGAGCCUGCUUCAUCAGAACUAGCCUUGGAUGAAGCAAAUUGUCCCUUCUUCCGCUGCAUCCUGAACAUAUUCGCACAGGACAUAUCAUAAUAUAGACAAAUUGACAAGCAGUUGGGAAAAGUGCAUUAGAUUAGCAAAUGAAGGAAUAGGAAUUAAGAAAAAAUAUGGCAGCUUUGAUUGGUAUCUUCAAGCCAAUAACUGUGAUUGAUAACUGGUAAACCAAUCAACAGUUACACACAUACUAGAUAUAAUUUGUCUUUAU